CACGCCCACACGGGAGCACAAUUAGCGAGGUGCUGCAGGCAAGGCUGCUCUCCUUGGAAAACAGAACUGAUCCCUGCAGCUGCAGGCCAGAAACUGGGAGGGUUGGAUUUAGCUGGGAGCCCCUGGCUGCCUGAUGACGUGUGAAUGGGAUGUCGGUGAGGGGCUGACCUUAGAGCUGAUGACAAGUUGUACUGGCAAGAACCGCUGUCGCUGAGUGAAGGCUGAAACCGCGGAGCAGAAAAACCAAGCUCCUGAAACCAGGGAGACAACUGCCUAUGGAGCAGGGAGUGUGAGUGCAGAUGGACACCUGGAUCACCCCCGAGCCCCAAGACACCUCUCUGCAGCACAGCAAACACAUAGUGCAAUCAUUUCUCUCAGGAGCUCAGGUCUACUCUCCAGGAAACUGCUACCAGAAAUAUGAUGCCACAUGAAAUCCCCGAGCUGUCACCACAGCAGAGUAAAGCUGACAACUGUGUUUGAGCCUAUGGAUGCUUUAGACAGACACUAGAGGACCAGUGGGUUGGAUGUUCAUCUUCAGGAAUAUCACUGGUAAGGUUCUUGGGGAGUACAUUUAUUUUUGUUUGUUGGUUUGGUUCUUUAUUUUGUUGUCCUUUCUGCACUGAAACAAACAAUCUAUGGAAUUAGAAAGCUGUGAAAGAACAGAUUUUACCUGACAACCCAAAAGCAGUUUGUGAAAUCUGAUGUACAUUCCUGGACUUGUCUUAAAAUUCAGGAAAUUUUUCAUGGCAAAUGUGCUGUAUC